rnacentral:rRNA from 1 species
UACAGAGGGUGCGAACGUUGCUCGGAAUUACUGGGCGUAAAGCGCGUGUAGGCGGAGCCGCAAGUCUGAUGUGAAAUCCCCGAGCUCAACUCGGGAACUGCAUCGGAAACUGCGGGUCUAGAGUACUGGAGAGGGUGGCGGAAUUCCUGGUGUAGAGGUGAAAUUCGUAGAUAUCAGGAGGAACACCGGUGGCGAAGGCGGCCACCUGGACAGUGACUGACGCUGAGACGCGAAAGCGUGGGGAGCAAACAGG